GACGAACGCUGGCGGCGUGCCUAAUACAUGCAAGUCGAGCGAGCGGAACUAACAGAUUUACUUCGGUAAUGACGUUAGGAAAGCGAGCGGCGGAUGGGUGAGUAACACGUGGGGAACCUGCCCCAUAGUCUGGGAUACCACUUGGAAACAGGUGCUAAUACCGGAUAAGAAAGCAGAUCGCAUGAUCAGCUUUUAAAAGGCGGCGUAAGCUGUCGCUAUGGGAUGGCCCCGCGGUGCAUUAGCUAGUUGGUAAGGUAAAGGCUUACCAAGGCGAUGAUGCAUAGCCGAGUUGAGAGACUGAUCGGCCACAUUGGGACUGAGACACGGCCCAAACUCCUACGGGAGGCAGCAGUAGGGAAUCUUCCACAAUGGACGCAAGUCUGAUGGAGCAACGCCGCGUGAGUGAAGAAGGUUUUCGGAUCGUAAAGCUCUGUUGUUGGUGAAGAAGGAUAGAGGUAGUAACUGGCCUUUAUUUGACGGUAAUCAACCAGAAAGUCACGGCUAACUACGUGCCAGCAGCCGCGGUAAUACGUAGGUGGCAAGCGUUGUCCGGAUUUAUUGGGCGUAAAGCGAGCGCAGGCGGAAGAAUAAGUCUGAUGUGAAAGCCCUCGGCUUAACCGAGGAACUGCAUCGGAAACUGUUUUUCUUGAGUGCAGAAGAGGAGAGUGGAACUCCAUGUGUAGCGGUGGAAUGCGUAGAUAUAUGGAAGAACACCAGUGGUGAAGGCGGCUCUCUGGUCUGCAACUGACGCUGAGGCUCGAAAGCAUGGGUAGCGAACAGG
rnacentral:rRNA from 1 species